rnacentral:rRNA from 1 species
CAAGUUUGGGGGGUUUACAUGCAGCUGACGAUAAGCCCUAUGCUUGCGUGGGUGGAUAGUGGCGAAGGGGGCGCUCCGUGAGUACCUUGCCCUUACGCUGGGAAAGCGGAGGAAAGGGGGCCUAAUCCGGAUAGGAGCGCCGACCGCAUGGUGGGUGUUGGAAAGAUUUAUCGGUUUUGGUCUGGACUCGCGGCCUAUCAGCUUGUUGGUGAGGUAAUGGCCUCACCAAGGCGACGACGGGUAGCCGGCCUGAGAGGGUGACCGGCCACACUGGGACUGAGACACGGCCCAGACUCCUACGGGAGGCAGCAGUGGGGAAUAUUGCACAAUGGGCGCAAGCCUGAUGCAGCGACGCCGCGUGAGGGAUGACGGCCUUCGGGUUGUAAACCUCUUUCAGUAGGGAAGAAGCUAAAGGACGGUACCUGCAGAAGAAGCACCGGCUAACUACGUGCCAGCAGCCGCGGUAAUACGUAGGGUGCGAGCGUUAUCCGGAAUUAUUGGGCGUAAAGAGCUCGUAGGCGGUUUGUCGCGUCUGUCGUGAAAGUCCGGGGCUUAACCCCGGAUCUGCGGAGGGUACGGGCAGACUAGAGUGCAGUAGGGGAGACUGGAAUUCCUGGUGAAGCGGUGGAAUGCGCAGAUAUCAGGAGGAACACCGAUGGCAAAGGCAGGUCUCUGGGCUGUACUGACGCUGACGAGCGAAAGCAUGGGGAGCGAACACGAUUAGAUACCCUGGUAGUCCAUGCCGAAACGUUGGGCACUAGGUGUGGGGACCAAUUCCACGGUUUCCGGGCCCAUCUACGCAUUAAGUGCCCCGCCAUGGGGAGUACGGCCCCAAGGGUAAAACUC